rnacentral:rRNA from 1 species
GACGAACGCUGGCGGCGUGCUUAACACAUGCAAGUCGAACGGAAAGGCCCUGCUUUUGUUGGGUUCUCGAGUGGCGAACGGGUGAGUAACACGUGAGUAACCUCCCCUUGACUUUGUGAUAACUUCAGGAAACUGGGGCUAAUACCGGAGAGGAUCUCCUGCUGCAUGGUGGGGGUUGGAAAGUUUCGGCGGUUGUGGAUCGACUCGCGGCUUAUCAGCUUGUUGGUGUGGUAGUGGCUUACCAAGGCUUUGACGGGUAGCCUGCCUGAGAGGGUGAACGGCGACAUUGGGACUGAGAUACGGACCAGACUCCGACGGGCGGCAGCAGUGGGGAAUAUUGCACAAUGGGCGGAAGCCUGAUGCAGCAACGCCGCGUGCGGGAUACCGGCCUUCGGGUUGUAAACCGCUUUCGCCUGUGACGAAGCGUGAGUGACGGUAAUGGGUAAAGAAGCACCGGCUAACUACGUG